CAUAGAGCCUACAUGGGAAUCAGAUUUUCUAGAUAAUGCCACAGAUAUGCCAUCAGGCUACCUAUAUAUCCCAGGGAAUUUCUAACUGGACAUGUUGCCCCCCAAAAAGUGAGUUAAUUCUAUUUAAAAUGAGGGGAUAAUCUCAGUAACAAGAAUCAGUGCCUCCUCCAAAUCAGGAAUCACUGAGUAAGGUGCUUUGGGUUUUUUUUUUUUUUUUUAAUCUCCCUCUACAUGGUAUAUUCUUUUCCAAUAAUGUUUUGAAUUUUUAAAAAUACAAAGCAGACGUUAACUUCUACAGUUCAUGAAACAGAUUCUACCCACAAUUUACAGGGAGUUCUGAGGCAGGUGACAGAUGGGGAUUCAUGAGGUUCGUGGAGAGGGUGGCACUCACGCAGAGUCUGGAAGGCUGCUGAGUUUUAGACAAGCAGAUGAGAGAGCAAGUCUCUCAGGCAGCCUGCUAGUGUCCUAGCAGGGGACACAUACGAGCACUAGAGCAGGGGGCAGAGAGUAUGAACAUGCUGCCCACUGGCAGCUGUUGAACUUCUUUGGGGCUCGGUUUCCUCAUCUGAAAAGUGAGGAUAAUAAUGCCCACCCAGCGUGGUUGUUGCAAGGAUGAAAUGUCACGCUUGCUAGAAAGUGCACUCAGUAGAACAAAGCACUCAAUCAAGUGAUUAUUAUUACUAUUAUUGUAUUUUUUAGUUUAUUUUUAAAGUAUAGUUGAUUUAUAGUGUUGUGCCAAUUUCUGCUGUACAGCAGCGUGACUCAGUCAUUCAUAUAUAUACAUUCUUUUAAUAUUAUUUUCCCUCAUGGUCUAUCCCAGGAGACUGGAUGUAGUUCCCUGUGCUAUACAGUAGGACCUUGUUGUCUAUCCAUUCUAAAUGUAAUAGUUUAUAUCUAUUAAGCCCAGACUCCCAAUCCACCCCACUCCCCCCCCCCAUUACUAUUAUUAUUAUUAUUACUGUGGAAACUAAAGGUGUGCUGGUUGGAGAGAAGACCAGAUGAUAGAAAGUUUUAAAACCAUGCAGAGGAGUUAAGGAAGAUUAAGUGUGCGGUUAGACUACAGGGGCCAGAACUAGACUCCAGGAAGUCCGUUGUAAGGCUGAUGUGAUGCCAGUAAAAAGUGGUGUGAUUCACUUCCUGGAGCUGCUGAAACCGGGUACCACAAACUGGGUGGCCUAAAAGAGCAGCGAUGUAUUGUCUUAAACGCUGGAGAUGAGACGUCUGAAAUCAAGGUAUCAGCAGGCCACACUCCUUCCAGAGGCUUUAGGGGAGGGAUGUUCCUUGCCUUUUCAGCUACUGGUGGCGCAUCAUUCCAAAUGUCAAGGCCAGCAUCUUCGAAUCUCCCUCCCUUUGUUCACAUCACCCCCGCCUCUCUGUAUCAUCUGUCAAACCUCCCUCUGCCUCCCUUGCAUAGGGACGCAGGUGAUGGCAUGGAGUGCCCACCCAGACCAUUCCACACAACCUCCCCCUCUCAAGAGCCUAACCUUCAUCACAUCCUUUGCCAGUUAAGGUAAUGUUUACAGGUCUGCCUUCUAAAGUAAGCUACCUGUCACAGGCCUGAGCACUUUGGGGGCCAUUUCUCAGGCCACCAGAGGUGGUAAGGACCUAGGCAGAGCCGAUUAUCAUACAAUCCCGACAGCCAGGAUAUUCAUCCCUGCAGGAGAAUGGCAUGGCCUGGGCAUGGGGUGGGGAAUAUCACUGUAGCUAUUUGCCAGUGAGAUGGCUUUUCUGGUACAACCCAGCAGACUGAAAUCCCUGAGUGUGGGAUAGAAACAGAGAGCAAGAGAGUACGAGAGACUUUUAACGGGCAGAAUCGAUGGGCCUGGCUAUGAAAGAUGAAGUUCAGCAGACACUGUGAAAAGAGAGAGCUCACCAUCAGCUGGAAAGGCGUGAGGGCUUGUUUUUCCAAGUACCCCAAGAUGGAGGCUCCCGGGAUGUUUUCUGGUGUGUUUCGUGUCCCAGGCCCUGAUAUGGCUGGACCAGCACAGGUCCCCACCUGGGAGACAUUAAUGAAUUCACCUCUCAGUCCUCAGACCUGGUGAGGAUCCUGGCACAAGGCUGCCAGCAACUGCAAUGUGUCAGAACAGACUGUUUACCAAACUCCUGCUGAGCCCAGGGGAUGUCUCUAAAUUAGGAGAAAGCAGGCUCUUUCAAGACAGUUAAUGCCCUCACCAGAAACUACUAAUACAGGGUUGCUUUUCAGUACCUCGUGAACUGAUUAGGAGGUCCAUAGGUCCUAAUUAGCAUGUGAAGUUUAUUCAUCUGUAAACCUGUAAAGGGAAUGCUCUCCAGGGAAUUGGAAUCAGCAAGAACUGUUGUGCCGGUUGCCCUGGUUAAACAAGAAAUGAAACAGUUUGCCUCUCUGUGUCUCCUGUUAGGCAGGUAGCCUGGAAAGGAGAAUGAUUUCUUGAUGAUCUUUUCCCAAUAUUUAUUAAACAUCGGUACAGGCUUCCGUGAUCUAGCAAAUCAGCUUCUAGUAUUUGCAAUGAGAAAAUGAUGUGAGUGCUCAUUAAUGUGCAUAAUUAGACCCAAAGGCCAGGAAAUUGAGAACUAAGGUCAACGGAGCAACUUAGGCUCCAUUCUUUGCAUAGAUGAAUAAUCAGGAUGGGGAUUCUGUUGUUGAUCAGAAACUUCUCUGGUGAGCGUCACAGAAAGACUAACACAAUUGCAAUUUAAGCUAAUUGCAAAAGUGGGAUUUGUUUGCUAUAAGCAUGAGAGAGUAAUAAGCAUGAGAGAGUAAGACUGUGCCUCAUUCCACCCACUUCUGCCCCCACAUGAUCAGUGUGAAUUUAUUUAUUUUUGCUGUAAUGCAACAAUGGAAAGAAAGCUCCAAAUGCAGUAGACUCACCACCAAAGAGCCACCAAGUCCCACUCUGUGUGACACCCACUAAAUGUCACAGAGCUUCAGAAGAACAACCCUUGCCUUCCAGGAGUGAACAAUUUAGCAGUCCUCAAUUUUUCAUUGCCUAGGCAAAAAUUAUUUCCAUUUCAUUACAUUCAUUUGUUACAGAUGCUUACAUUUGAUUUCUCAAGACAAUAGGAAUAAAAGACUGCAGAAAAUGCUUCGACCUAUAUUUUCCAAAUCACUGUCUCUAGCAAAUCCCAGAUUUCCACCUUCACAACCAAGUACUUCAUUAGUGUUUUUUGGUUUUUUUGUUUGUUUUUUCUUAAGAAAUGUGUAAUAAAAGGACCUACUUUGUAGCACAGGGAAAUUUACUCAAUUCUGUGUAAUAACCUAUAUGGGAGAAUAAAAAGGAAUGGAUAUACAUACAUGUAUAGCCGAUUUACUUUGCUAUAUGCCUGAAAUUAACACAACUUUGUAAGUCAAUUAUAUUCCAGUAAAUUUUAAAAAGAAAAAGAAACGUGUAAUAAAUUCCGGGAACCAGGACUUUUCCAUACUUUACCAAACACUUUUAUGAAAUGCCCUGUGGGUAGACCAGUUGCCUGGGCAAACAGCAACUUCAUCUGCUUUGCCUUUAGACUCCUGGCAGCUGCCUUCACCUCCAAGUAUCCUCACCAUCUACUCCUGAUAAAGCUUGUUCUGACUGAACAGAAAUCCGUCAUUGGACAGGAGAGGUACCAGCAAGCUCCUGGCCUUAGGUGCUUUUCACACUCCAAAAGAGGAAGGCGGCCGAUGCUGAGUCCUCCCCAGAGUAAGAAAUGAGAAUGAGGCAGCAGUGUGGUCACCAGGAGAGUGGGCCUUCAAAUCUCCCACCGCCGGGGGUGCAGUUAACCGAGGGCCCGGGCUCUGCUCUGAAUGCCACCUUCCCAGGGCUGCCUCUGGGGCCACUGGGCACUACAGAGUUAGGAAGGCUGGUCUGUCUGUGGGACACGCAGGGCUCUUCUGACAAGGUGCUUUGCUGAACUUUCCUGGAACUGCACUGCAGUCUCCGUCACCUCUAUCCAGCCUUCGUUUCCUCCGUCUCUGGGGUCAGACGUGCAUCACCGUCUUUCCAGGCCUCUAUCGGUUUCCUCUCUGUUUUCUUUCAUAGGCAUUUCACCUAAUAAAUUUCUUGCACUUUUAACUGAUCUUGAUGCCUGCUUCUCAGGGGGCCUGGACUCCCCAAGGUGGGGAUCUGCCAGGAGAAACAGAAACAGCCGAGGAGAGGACAGGAGGAGAACCUGGCAUUGGUUUAAAGGCCAGACUCAUUUCCUGAAACGUGGGCCACCGCCUGAGGCCUUCGUGAGGCGUCUCUCAACAAGUCUCGUGAUGGUUUUGUAAUGCGUGGACUUGGCCAGGCUGGUCCAUGUUUGUCAGAAUUCUUUUCUCCGGUGUUUCAGGUCAGGACGGACUGGGGGGAUGUGCUCUUGGGAGCAUUGGAAGGAGGCACCCUGGCGGCCACGAUUUUGUGGCCUGAUAAACAUUUGGUGCUAAUCUGCCGACUCGCUCAGUUGCAGUGAAACAGCGCUGGGCCUGCCGUUGCCUUUCCUUUCCCCAAUCUUCCUCCAGGUUCCCUGCCCCCUGCGCCAGGUGUAUAUUUGUUCAGCGACAUGACACAAGCCCUCAGCUUCUGCAGGCCACCCUCAUCAGCAGAGUCAGAGGGAACAGAAAAGGACGUGGGUUUCCAUCUUCCCACGUGGAGUUCUUGCUCCUGCUCACAAGAGCCUCCUCUCCUGUGUGUUUCAGGAACAUCAGGCUCCAGCAUCUGUUAAGAAGACAGCCUCGUGGAGACCCCUUAGCCAGCUCCCGUAAUUAUGUAAGCCAAUGCCUAGUCAUUCCUGUAUUUUUUUUUUUUUUUGUCAAACAUGUAUGUAACAAUUCUUCAUAGUUAAACCCUGAGUGAUACACUCAUUAUGUGCCCACUCCAGGUUUACUUCAAGACGUGGUACAGAGUAGGAACUAGAAUAGGCACCAGGUCUCCGAAAAUAUAUAGUACCAAGAGCAGAGCUGGACGUCUCCACAGUAGGGGUGAAACUGGGUAGUGAGGAAGGUGUGCAUUCACAGCCCACCUGGCAGAGGGAGAAAUGGAUGGUUUGGUUUGGUUUCUUUUGCUCUUUAUUUAUUUGUUUAUUUUGCUUUUUAUGGCUGCACCUGCAGCAUAUGGAAGCUCCCAGGUGAGGGGUUGAAUGGGAGCUGCAGCUGCAGGCCUACACCAUAGCCAUGGCAACACAGAAUCCAAGCCACAUCUGCAACCUACAGUACAGCUUGAGGCAACACCAGAUCCUUAACCCACUGAGUGAGGCCAGGGAUUGAACCUGUAUCCUCAUGGACACUGUGUCAGGUUCUUAACCUGAUGAGCCACAAGAGGAACUCCUUGUAUUGUUUCUAAAGCUGAAUUAUAUUCAGAUUUGUGCCCCCACCUCCCUGCCUGGGAAACCAUCCUAAGGCAGUUAUUAUCAGGACACCUACUACCAACACCAGUAUCUCCUGACUGUGUAGAACAGGAAGCCUGAGGGCUCACAGAAAUGGGGUAGCGGGGUGGUGGGGGGGGGGGGGCUCGGCCUUUACUCCAAGGUCAGUGCUAUUGCUUCUCUUCCUAUGAUUUCCCAGUGCCAAGGUUGAGCCUGCUACUCUGUCGUCUGUGGAGCACAGAUGCCACAGAGAAGCCUGUUGACAUUCCAGUCUGCCUCAGCCCAGGUGACAAGGCGCCAAGGUCAAGGAUGAGCCAGUGGUGAGCUCUAAGGAGCCAUGAGCUAUGUCAUCAGAGGUCCUGACACCUUGAGGGAGGCUGGGGGGCAGGUACCAUCUCCUCUACUCACAGAACCUUCCAUCCUCUGAGUCUCAGAGAACCCAGUUCUCCCUGGGCCCAGCUACCUCUCUGCCCACUCUUUACCUCCUGGGAGUUUCAGUCAUUCAAAAUAACAGCCUGUUUAUUCUCCCCUGGGUUUAGAGAAACCCCAAAGGGAUGUUUUCAUCUACUUCCCUCAGGAUAAGUUUUAUAAAUAUUCAUUUCUUUUUAAUUUUUAAUCCAUGGGGUUAGGAGUUCCUGUUGUGGUUCAGCAGGUUAAGAAUCCAACAUAGUGUCUGUGAACAUUUGAGUUCCAUCCCUGGCCUUGCUCAGUGGGUUAAGGAUCUGCUGUCGCUGUAAGCUGCAGCAUAGGUUGGAGACACGGCUUGGAUCUGCUGUUGCCGUGGCUGUGGCAGCUGCAGCUCUCCUUAGACUCCUAGCCUGGGGAUGUUCAUGUGCCACAGGUGCAGCUGUAAAAAGAAAAAAAAAGUUUUGAGUCCAUGGGAUCAGGAAUCAGCAUAACUUUGGGAGGAAGGAUGGAGGCAGAGAUUGAAAGGGUCACAAAGGUGCAGACAAUGUUAUUUUUUGAUGCAGGUGGUAAUUGUACACAUGAGUUCACCUAAUGAUAGUUCAUUGAGCCGAACUUUUAUGAUCUGUGAGCUUAUCUCUGUGUCUUCUAUUUCAGUUUUAAAAGUUUAAGACAAUCCAAAUGCUAUCAAAAUGG
rnacentral:lncRNA from 1 species